CACACUUUUACAUAUGAACAAAGUUAGAGACAUACCAUAUGCUUAUAAUGUUUUAGAGUUGACAGUUUAAAGUUAAAAUGCCUUAAUGAUGGAUUUGUUUCCUGCAAACACGCAGCUUUUGUCUUCACAAGAUGUUAACUGAUGGUCUGGAGUGGUGUGGAUUACUUGUGGAUUAUGGUGAUGUUUUUAUCAGCUGUUUAUACUCUCAUUCUGACGGCACCCAUUCACUGCAGAGCAUCCAUUGGUGAGCAAGUGAUGCUACAUUUCUCCAAAUCUGUUCGGAAGAAGAAACAAACUCAUCUACAGUACAUCUUGGAUUGCCUUAGGAUGAGUACAUUUUUCAAAAAAAAUUCAUUUUUUACAACUUUUACUCAAAUGCACUGAUAACUUCUGUUUCAUUGUCAACAUCUUAUGUUUGAACCAGUUAAAAUAUAUUGUGAUUGUGAUUUCAGUGUCCAAUUGUAUACAAUAUAGAAACUGUCUCUUUGUAGACUUUUUGGAGAGAAAAACAAUGUCUUGAAUCCGCGGGUGGGAUAAAGUGGAGCGUCUUCCCUCACUGCACACAGUUCUGCAGCUUUCCAUUGAUCUACUGCCUAGAACCUGAACCCUGGGGCUGCAGGGUGCCGGGGGACUUAUAGAUUGCCUUCAAAAAUAGCCUGUCCGGAGGGGAGGAGGACAGGAUAAAGGGUGGAGAGAGAGUCUGGCAAUGAGAGAAUCCUCCCUCCCCAGGCAGGCCACCGAUAGCACCCCAGGUGUAUUUAUAGAUGAACGACAGCAAACCUGAACCUGGAUCAAUAGGCUCUGGGACGUUACACGAUCUGACCGCUGCAGGGCCGGAAACCUGGCUGAGAGUACAGGCCCCUGGGACGCAGAACAGGGAAAAACCUCAGGGCCUGUUGGAGAAAAAAGAAAAAAAAGUCAAGAUAAUAAGAGAGGAGUUGAAUAUGAUCAGUCUUCAGAGAGCAGAAGCGAGACUGAAAAACUGCAGGCGUUUGGUUUGGAUGAAGUCACUACAAAACCUUUAGGUAACACUAACAUGAAUCGGUAAUAUUACAAUUAAAUUUGAAAGAAAAAAAUAUAUAACAUUGCAGUUCAUUAUGAAUCCCUUUCACUCUUUUCCACACAUUCUUCUUUUCUUCUAUAUGUUUUGAUCCACAAUCGGCCCUGGUAAAGAAAUGUGGAUUAGGAAGCCUCCUCUGAACACUAGCUGACAGAUGCUAGUUUACUCAUUUCAGAACAUGCUAUCGAUUGACGUCACUUACAGUGAGAUCUUUAUCUGAGCUGAAUAUUGACAGAUCCUCAUCAUUUUCACCUGUGCAGCAUGACAGACAUUCAGUCAGCACAGAGGAUGAUUGUAGUGUUAAUGCAGGGACUCUGCACUGCAUUAUGGGUGGAGUGAUAGUGAAGAGAUAAAGCGGCUGUAUAUGUGGAUAUGAAAUGCCACAUGAGUUAUGUUCAUGACACUAUGGCUGUUGUGAAUCUCCUGAGAGUUGUGUUUCAGCUGAAUUCAGGCCGCAGCACUGGUUUCCUUCACAAAGAAGGGAAUCCCAGCAAGCUCUAAAAUAUUUAAUGAGUUGGAUAUGUGAAUGGAUAUGCAUAUGCAUAUGCAUAUGAACAGUAUAAAAAUAAGCAACAGUGUAAACAAAUUAAUAGCUACAAAAGUUAUUCAGACAAUUUAGAAAUUAAUAUUAAUGUCAUGUCAGAUAACUUUGAUAGAAAGGUAUGUAAUGAAUUAGUUUGAAUAGCUGUCAGCUGUUAAAUUUAAGUGCACAAUUAGACAUUGCCAAUUAAGAUCAACCAAUUACCAAGCAAUGCUUAAUUUUGUUCAUUCUGUGGUGUAAAAUUUUUUUUUUUUUUUUUUAAAAAAAAAAAAAAAAUUUUUAAACCAAAAAAUAAAAAAAAUUAAACAUUAUCA
ensembl:lncRNA